UCCCUCACGGUGGCCUGUUGAUGCCCAACUC
rnacentral:piRNA from 1 species